rnacentral:rRNA from 1 species
GUCUACGGCCAAACCACGCUGAACGCGCCCGAUCUCGUCUGAUCUCGGAAGCUAAGCAGGGUCGGGCCGGGUUAGCGCUUGGAUGGGAGAAGAAACAGCUAGUGCACAACAGAGCAGCGGCGCGACU